rnacentral:tRNA from 1 species
AGGGAUGUAGCUCAGUGGUAGAAUGCAUGUAUGAGGUCCUGGGUUCAAUCCCCAGCAUCUCCA